UGCAGAUUGGUCAUUUCCUACCUAUAUACCAAAUCGACAAUUGCACUUCAGAGUUAAGACAGAACCCAUCAUUUAUCAUUCGGAUUGUAGGCUGCAACUUUGCAUGAAGCCGGAAUCGCCAUUAAUCGCCGGCCAGCCCAUCACACUAUGAGAGCUGAGUAUUUUUCCCUCUCUCCUCCCUCUCCAGUAGGCGGAUAUUGGGUCUGCCCUCAGCUCCCGCCGCUUCCGCUUCUAAGCAACCAUCUUCAACGUUGAAGGAGUUCUUGAACUUUUGAAGUCGCAACUUUGAAUUCGUAAUACCUACUCGAUUUAGGCCUUAAUUUCAUAACCCAAGGUAGAAAUCGAGUUCUUCUGAGGUUUUAAACAAAUAUACCUUAUAAGGAAACUGAUCCUUGGAAAACCAUUCACGGGUUUUAGGUUCUUCGAUAAGAAUCAAGUUGGCCACAUUAGGAGUGAGAGACAGAGAGGGAGGGGACUUUUCGCUGCCAAUCAGAAGAAGAAGAAGAUUUGCUGAGGGAAAGUCUAGAGAGGAGGAAGGGAUGUCUUGGUCGAUUUCAGUCUGUUCCCAAUUUGGGAAUUUUCGUUUCACAUUCAAAAUUUCAAUCUUCAAAGGGCACGAUCUGCUGCACAAAUGGGUUUUCUUCUCCGAAUAUCUUGACUGCCAAUUCUAAUCCCCUUAACAGAGGUUUUAUGCAAAGGAGUAUCUGGAUUGUUCUUUAGCCACUGUUCCUGGUUUUGUUAGUUGCUGUUAGUUGGGUGUCCUGUUGUGAUUCAGAUAUUGGGAACAGUGUGCGAUCAAAUUUUGGAAGUGCUUUGAAUUCAGUCUCUAUAAAAGGUCAAGCACUGAGAUACGAAGGAGAAGACAACAAAUCAGUUUGGGUUCGUUCUGGAAAAGACCGGAGCUUGAUGAUGCAGCAGUCAAAGUUCAGAAGGUUUACAAGAGUUAUCGAACUCGAAGAAACCCUGCAGGUUGUGCAGUGGUGGCUGAGGAGGUGGAGAUACACAUUAGAUUCUCCAGCUGGGACUAAAGAGCUAUGAUGGAAAACUUUAGAUCCUGCAGCUCUCAAGCAGAGUUCUGUGUCAUUCUUCGAUGUUGAGAAGCCGGAAACCGCCGUUUUGUGGUGGGCAAGGGCUAGGACUAGGCUGCGAAGAUUGGAAAAGGUUUGUCUAAGGAUGAGAAAGCACAAAAGUUAGCUCUUCAACAUUGGCUUGCAGCUAUUCAUCCACGCCAUCUCUAUGGACACAAUUUACACAUGUACUACGAUUUGUGGUUUGAAAGUGAGAGCAGCCAGCCUUUCUUCUACUGGCUGGAUGUUGGAGAUGGCAAAGAAACAAAUCUUGAGAUAUGCUUGAGGACAGUUCUACAGAGCCAAUGCAUCAAGUACCUUGGACCGAAAGAAAGGAAAGCCUAUGAAGUAGUAGUCAAAGAUGGCAAGCUAAUACUGAUUGAUUUCUGAAAUUCUGCAAUCUAUCAAAACAAAAACCUCUGUUCUUUUUUUUGUUAAUUAAACAUCAUCAGAUCAAAUUCUGGAUAUUACUUUGGGCUCAGUUUCUCCAGAGUUUGGCAAUUAGCACAACUUUUUUGUUUUCUGGAAUCUUAGUUUUACUUACGUUGUUUGUUUC